rnacentral:tRNA from 1 species
GCGCAGAUGGCGGAGCGGCCAAUCGCACUUGACUGUAAAUCAAGCGCCCGAACGGGCUACGCAGGUUCAAAUCCUGCUCUGCGCA